GAGGUUUCCACAUGUGUAGUCAGGGGCUU
rnacentral:piRNA from 1 species